UAGCCAUCCAAGGCACCAAUAAUUUGAAUAUAUUGCAGCUGAGCUGUGUAUAAGUCAACAAGUGAAACCAUCUGUCAGCAGAGGUGUACAGCUUAGUGUUUAACACCCCAGGUGUGUCCUAUUAGGUGUGAAGAGCCCCCUGAGCCUUGCACCCCGUGCGUGUGAUUCAGGAGCAAGGGUGUGUUUGUGGUUAGGCUGAGUUUUCCCAGUUUCGUCAUGAUAAAGCCAGCAGGUUUGAAUUUUGAGACACUACAAUUGUCAAGGAGGUCACAGCAGGAACAUCCCUUCUAUGCAUUCCAGGGUCCCCUGAACCAGCAUACGUGUGACUGGCAAAAUCCACAGCACUGCAUGGAAACACCACUACCAAGAAGCCCAUCAGGUUUGUUUUAGCAUUCAAACAGAAGCUGAAGACCAGAGAGUCCAGGUGGCAGGUGUUUGCUUCUAACCUGCAGGGGAAGAAAAGAAAAAUGAGAAGAAUUUAAUUUCCCUGCAAAAAUUGAGAGCAGCUGCUGCUUACUCUUUGCGGUAAGAGCCUUGUAGACCAUUAUAUGGAGGUAUUCAUGAUAUGCAAGACUGAAGUUCUGGAACCUUACUCUGUGUGUGUAUGUGUAUGUGUGUGUGUGUGUGUGUGUGUGUUUGUGUGCACCACGUGUAAGUGUGCCCGUGUGUUUUCAAACAGCCUCCUUGCUGAAUGACUCACUAUGGGGUUGUCAUGGGGAAAGAUGGAAAGAUGAAUCAGAGUAAAGCAGCCCCUUGAAGAAGCACUGUUUGUGCCCACAUGCGCCAUGCUUUGUCAUAGCCUUUCCAUUCUCGCUACUGUCCCCUGCAGGAGCACUCGCCUUUAAAGUCCAGGCACAGUUUUCCAACAUGCUUUUGAGCCUGAGGUAGUCCAUGUUUUCAUGGAAGAUAAGCAGAUGUUUUUGACAGAGAGAAAGAAUGGAAUGAAAAAAUGGUUCCUUGCCCCUUGUUA